rnacentral:rRNA from 1 species
GAUGAACGCUGGCGGCGUGCCUAAUACAUGCAAGUCGAGCGAAAAGACGAGGAGCUUGCUCCUAUGACGUUAGAGGCGGACGGGAGAGUAACACGUGGAUAAACUAACUAUAAGACUGGGAUAACUUUGGGAAACAGGGGCUAAGACCGGAUAAUAUAUUGAACCGCAUGGUUCAAUAGUGAAAGACGGUUUUGCUGUCGCUUAUAGAUGGAUCAGCGCCGCAUUAGCUAGUUGGUAAGGUAACGGCUUAACAAGGCAACGAUGCGUAGCCGACCUGAGAGCGUCGUCGCCUACACUGUAUCUGAGACACGUCCCACACUCCGGCACUAGGCAGCAGCAGAGACUCCUACGCAAGGGAGCAGAGCCUGACGGAGCAACGCCGCGUGAGGCAUGAACGUCCUCUGCUCGUUAAACUCUGUUAUUAUUGAGGAACUAAUGUGUAAGUACCUAUGCACAUCUUGACGGUACCGAGUCAGAAAGCCACGGCUAACUACGUG